ACGAACGCUGGCGGCGUGCUUAACACAUGCAAGUCGAACGGAAAGGCCCUGCUUUUGUGGGGUGCUCGAGUGGCGAACGGGUGAGUAACACGUGAGUAACCUGCCCUUGACUUUGGGAUAACUUCAGGAAGCUGGGGCUAAUACCGGAUAGGAGCUCCUGCUGCAUGGUGGGGGUUGGAAAGUUUCGGCGGUUGGGGAUGGACUCGCGGCUUAUCAGCUUGUUGGUGGGGUAGUGGCUUACCAAGGCUUUGACGGGUAGCCGGCCUGAGAGGGUGACCGGCCCCAUUGGGACUGAGAUACGGCCCAGACUCCUACGGGAGGCAGCAGUGGGGAAUAUUGCACAAUGGGCGGAAGCCUGAUGCAGCAACGCCGCGUGCGGGAUGACGGCCUUCGGGUUGUAAACCGCUUUCGCCUGUGACGAAGCGUGAGUGACGGUAAUGGGUAAAGAAGCACCGGCUAACUACGUG
rnacentral:rRNA from 1 species